GAUGAACGCUGACAGAAUGCUUAACACAUGCAAGUCAACUUGAACUUCGGUUUGGGUGGCGGACGGGUGAGUAACGCGUAAAGAACUUGCCUCACAGAUAGGGACAACAUUUGGAAACGAAUGCUAAUACCUGAUAUUAUGAUUUUAGGGCAUCCUAGGAUUAUGAAAGCUAUAUGCGCUGUGAGAGAGCUUUGCGUCCCAUUAGCUAGUUGGAGAGGUAACGGCUCACCAAGGCGAUGAUGGGUAGCCGGCCUGAGAGGGUGAUCGGCCACAAGGGGACUGAGACACGGCCCUUAUUCCUACGGGAGGCAGCAGUGGGGAAUAUUGGACAAUGGACCAAGAGUCUGAUCCAGCAAUUCUGUGUGCACGAUGAAGUUUUUCGGAAUGUAAAGUGCUUUCAGUUGGGAAGAAAAAAAUGACGGUACCAACAGAAGAAGUGACGGCUAAAUACGUG
rnacentral:rRNA from 1 species